CUGGAGUGCAGUGGCGUGAUCUUGGCUCAUCGCAACCUCCGCCUCCUGGGUGCAAGCGAUUCACCUGCCUCAGACUCCGGAAGACCUGAGAUUACAGGGGGUAUCCAGUACAAUGAUGAAUAGAAAUGGAUAAAGCAGAAACACUUGUGUUAUUCUCAAUUCCAGAGGAAGACUUAUGGGAGUAGAUUCAGUUUAUUUUACAGAGCCACAUAACAAGCCUCAAGAGGAGCUAAUCUCAGUUUAAAUUGUAAGUAAAAAGAAAAAAACAAGAAAACAUAACGGGACAAAACAAACAAACAAGCAAAGAAACAAACAGCAUCUGACUUUUUAACUGAGAAUUGGCCUUACCCUAAUGGAGAAGAGAGAGUGUUAUCUUGUGAACAUAAACAAUUUCAAAGACUAUCCACAUGGUAUAAAGUCACUUGUUAAGUGUGAUGAUGUAUGACCUCAUAAUACUAUCUGAGCACAAAAGAGAACUGAAAAGGACAACUGCAGAUCCACUAACAGCAAGUUUUUAUUUCCUUUGGGACUCAGUACUUGGCUAAGUGCAAUCCUUGUUCCUGUAACUUUAAAAGCUUAGUGUUUUUUGCCCAGUGAAUCAGUUGUUUUCAAUAGCAACCUCCCUCCACUAUUUAUCAGCUAAAUUUUGGUGAUGAAACUGUCAUGACAUUAUUACUUUUACUUUCUUACCAUCGGUUAGAUGGAUCAAAAAGUUCAUUCUUUGCUAGUUUAUUUAUUCAUAAUUUUGAGUUUUUACAUUCUACUCUUUUAAUGAUUCCUCCAGAAAUUGAAUAUGCAUAUAUUUAAAAGCCUAAAUUUGAUGCAUAUUUUAUUUUACAGUUAG
rnacentral:lncRNA from 10 species